CGGCUACCACAUCUAAGGAAGGCAGCAGGCGCGCAAAUUACCCAAUCCUGACUCAGGGAGGUAGUGACCAGAAAUAACGACGACGGGUUUCGAUUCGUCGAUUGCAAUGAGCACAAUGUAAAAUUCUUAGCGAGUACCGACUGGAGGGCAAGUCUGGUGCCAGCAGCCGCGGUAAUUCCAGCUCCAGUAGCGUAUAUUAAAGUUGUUGCAGUUAAAAAGCUCGUAGUUGGACGUCUCUGCGACACGCAGCUCCGCCACGCAACUGGGCACGCUCUUAACUGAGCGGCCGAGACCUGCGGGCCCUUUACUUUGAGGAAACUAGAGUGUUUAAGGCAGGCUCCGCCUGAAUACUGCAGCUGGGAAUAAUGCGCACGACUGUCUUGGCGAGGCAGCUCCACACUUUUAAUAGGAACAGUUGGGGGCAUUCGUACUCAGCAGUCAGAGGUGAAAUUCUUGGAUUUGCUGAAGACGGACUAGUGCGAAAGCAUUUGCCAAGGAUGUUUUCAUUAAUCAAGAACGAAAGUUAAGGGAUCCAAGACGAUCAGAUACCGUCCUAGUCUUAACCAUAAACGAUGCCGACUAGGGAUCGGGAGAGACGUACACACUCUCUCGGCACCUCACGAGAAAUCCAAGUCUUUGGGUUCUGGGGGGAGUAUGGUCGCAAGACUGAAACUUAAAGGAAUUGACGGAAGGGCACCACAAGGAGUGGAGCCUGCGGCUUAAUUUGACCCAACACGGGGAAACUUACCAGGUCCAGACAUAGUGAGGAUUGACAGAUUGACAGCUCUUUCUUGAUCCUAUGGGUGGUGGUGCAUGGCCGUUCCUAGUUGGUGGAGUGAUCUGUCUGGUUAAUUCCGAUAACGAACGAGACCUCAGCCUGCUAACUAGAUCUUCUUAGAGGGACUUCCUGCUCGCACAGGAGGAAGUGAGGCAAUAACAGGUCUGUGAUGCCCUUAGAUGUCCUGGGCCGCACGCGCGCUACACUGACGCAACCUGCCAGUUCCAAGCCCGAACCGGCCUGGCAAACUGCCAACUGCGUCGUAGUUGGAACUGACCCUUGCAAUUCUUGGUCACGAACCAGGAAUUCCUAGUAAGCGCAAGUCAUCAGCUUGCACUGACUAAGUCCCUGCCCUUUGUACACACCGCCCGUCGCUCCUACCGAUUCCGAGUGAUCAGGUGAACCUCUCGGACCCUGGAAGUUAAGUGAACCUUAUCACUUAGAGGAAGGAGAAGUCGUAACAAGGUA
rnacentral:rRNA from 1 species